rnacentral:rRNA from 1 species
AGUGAACGCUGGCGGCAGGCCUAAUACAUGCAAGUCGAACGGCAGCACGGCAGAGCUUGCUCUGUGGGUGGCGAGUGGCGGACGGGUGAGGAAUACAUGGGGAUCUGCCCAGUCGUGGGGGAUAACGUAGGGAAACUUACGCUAAUACCGCAUGCGCCCUUCGGGGGAAAGCCGGGGACCUUCGGGCCUGGCGCGAUUGGAUGAGCCCAUGUCGGAUUAGCUAGUUGGCGGGGUAAUGGCCCACCAAGGCGACGAUCCGUAGCUGGUCUGAGAGGAUGAUCAGCCACACUGGAACUGAGACACGGUCCAGACUCCUACGGGAGGCAGCAGUAGGGAAUAUUGGACAAUGGGCGCAAGCCUGAUCCGGCCAUGCCGCGUGAGUGAAGAAGGCCCUCGGGUUGUAAAGCUCUUUCGGCCGGGAAGAAAUCGCACGGGUUAAUACCCUGUGUGGAUGACGGUACCGGAAUAAGAAGCACCGGCUAACUACGUGCCAGCA